rnacentral:rRNA from 1 species
UACGGGGGGGGCAAGCGUUGUUCGGAAUUACUGGGCGUAAAGGGCUCGUAGGCGGCCAACUAAGUCGGACGUGAAAUCCCUCGGCUUAACCGGGGAACUGCGUCCGAUACUGGAUGGCUGGAGGUUGGGAGAGGGAUGCGGAAUUCCAGGUGUAGCGGUGAAAUGCGUAGAUAUCUGGAGGAACGACCGGUGGCGAAGGCGGCAUCCUGGA